UAAAGUCUAGCCUGCCCAAUGAUUAAUUAAAUGGCUGCAGUAUAUUGACUGUACAAAGGUAGCAUAAUAAUUAGUUUUUUAAUUGAAAACUGGAAUGAAUGGUUGGAUGAAAUAUUAACUGUUUUUUUAUAAAAAUUAAUUGAAUUUUAUUUUUAAGUAAAAAAGCUUAAAUAAUAUUAAAAGACGAGAAGACCCUAUAAAUCUUUAUAUUUUUAUAAAAUAUUAUUAUAAAGAAAAUAUUUAUGUUAUUUUUAAAAAAUAUUUUAUUGGGGUGAUAGUAAAAUUUAAAAAACUUUUAUAUUUAUUAUUUCAUUAAUUUAUGAAUAAUUGAAUAAUUAUUAAUGAUUAUAAAAUAAGUUACUUUAGGGAUAACAGCGUAA
rnacentral:rRNA from 1 species